AUGACCACCCCUCAUCACUGUCAAACUCUCCCUAAAACACUUCAGCGAGCAGGCCUUUCUAAUCGACCGGCCCAGGUAUCUUGGAAGGAUAUUGACCUCAUUUCGUCAGUAGAGGAUGCCUGGUUAUUCUUUAAAAGUGCUUUCCUCGCCAUCUUAAAUAAGCACGCCCCAUUCCAAAAAUGUAGAACCAGGAACAGAUAUAGCCCUUGGUUCACUCCAGGCCUGACUGCCCUUGACCAGCACAAACAUAUCCUGUGGCGUACUGCAUUAGCAUCGAACAGCCCCCGCGAUAUGCAACUUUUCUGGGAAGUUAGGAACAAAUAUACACAGGCAGAUAGGAAAGCAAAGGCUAGCUUUUUCAAACAGAAAUUUGCAUCCUGUAGCACAAACUCCCCAAAAUUCUGGGACAUUGUAAAGUCCAUGGAAAAUAAGAGCACCUCCUCCCAGCUGCCCACUGCACUGAGGCAAGGAAACACUGUCAUCACCGAUAAAUCUGCGAUAAUUGAUCAUUUCAAUAAGCAUUUUUCUACGGCUGGCCGUGCUUUAAACCUGGCAACCCCUAUCAACAGCCCUGCACCCUCCUGCGCCCCCCAUAGCAACUUGCUCAAGCCUCACCCAUUUCUCCUUCACCCAAAUGAUAUUCUGAAAGAACUGCACAAUCUGGACCCUCUCUUUCUGAAAUUAUCAACCGAAAUGGUUGCAACCCCUAUUAUUACCCUGUUCAACUUCUCUUUCGUAUCGUCUGAGAUCCCCAAAGAUUGGAAAGCUGCCGCGGUCAUCCCCCCAUCAAAGGGGGAGACACUAGGCCCAAACUGCUCCAGAUCUAUAUCUAUCCUACCCUGCCUUUCUAAGGUCUUUGAAAGCCAAGUUAACAAACAGAUCACCUACCAUUUUGAAUCCCACCGUACCUUCUCCGCUAUGCAAUCGGGUUUCCGAGCUGGUCAUGGGUGCACCUCAGCCACCAUCGACCUGGCCAAGGCUUUCAACUCUGUCAACCACCACAUUCUUAUCGGCAGACUCAACAGCCUUGGUUUCUCAAAUGCCUCGCCUGGUUCACCAACUACUUCUCAGACAGAGUUCCAUUGUCCGGGCCUGUUGUCCGGGCCUCUGGCAGUCUCUAUGGGGGUGCCACAGGGUUCAAUCCUCGGGCCGACUCUUUUCGCUGUAUACAUCAAUGAUGUCGUCUUGCUGCUGGUGAUUCUCUGA
rnacentral:lncRNA from 1 species